UCUAUUAAUUCUUACCACCACCUUUAGUGGCUAUCAGAGUGAGUCCUGCAAUCUUUGCAUGGAGACGCUGAACAUCAAUCGUGCAGAGUUUCCUCCCUGCCAUCAACACUACUGCUGGGGGCAAAUGCAUCUAAAUAGCCCUAAGACCACUCUAACGUUAGGAGUGCAUAUUUGUAUUCCCAACAUUAGAGUGUUUCUUUAAGCAAUAAAUCUGCAAGGCAUCCCCCCAGUCAUUCCUGC